rnacentral:rRNA from 1 species
CCCUUAGACGUUCUGGGCCGCACGCGCGCUACACUGACCAGUGCAACAAGCAUCCGUCCUUGGCCGACAGGCCCGGGCAAUCUUUGAACGCUGGUCGUGAUGGGGAUAGACUUUUGCAAUUUUUGGUCUUCAACGAGGAAUUCCUAGUAAACGCAAGUCAUCAACUUGCAUUGAUUACGUCCCUGCCCUUUGUACACACCGCCCGUCGCACCUACCGAUUGAAUGGUCCGGUGAAGCCUCCGGAUUGGCGCGCACCUCGGUGCCGCCGAGAAGUUGACUAAACCUUACCAUUUAGAGGAAGGUGAAGUCGUAACA